GACGAACGCUGGCGGCGUGCUUAACACAUGCAAGUCGAACGGAAAGGCCCUGCUCUUGUGGGGUGCUCGAGUGGCGAACGGGUGAGUAACACGUGAGUAACCUGUCCCUGACACUCGGAUAACUUCAGGAAACUGGGGCUAAUACCGGAUAGGAGCCCCUGCUGCACGUUGUGGGUUGGAAAGUUUCGGCGGUUGGGGAUGGACUCGCGGCUUAUCAGCUUGUUGUUGGGGUAGUGGCUCACCAAGGCUUUGACGGGUAGCCGGCCUGAGAGGGUGACCGGCCACAUUGGGACUGAGAUACGGCCCAGACUCCUACGGGAGGCAGCAGUGGGGAAUAUUGCACAAUGGGCGGAAGCCUGAUGCAGCAACGCCGCGUGCGGGAUGACGGCCUUCGGGUGGUAAACCGCUUUCAGCUGAGACGAAGCGUGAGUGACGGUAAUGGGUAAAAAAGCACCGGCUAACUACGUG
rnacentral:rRNA from 1 species